GGGAUUUAUUAUGUUUGUGGGGAAGUGAAAAUCCUCAUUAUAAUAACUUCUCACAAAUGUAAUAAAAAAAAUGAAUAAUGGUCGUGGUUGUUGUUUUUUUGUUUGCCUAUACGUCUACUAAUACUGACCGUGGCUGCAAAAUCCAGCUGCUGACUCUUCUGCUGUCACAGAACUGAUCCCCCUCACCUUGUUUUAAUAUCUUUGGGGCGUGUGUGUGGUCUCUCUCUUUCUCACCGCUGUCCAUGGUUCUGAACCACAGAAGCCCUGACCUGCGCAUCACUACCCAUCAGGUCUACUGAUUUUUCCCCCCUCCAUUCAAAAAUGUGAAUGUCAUUUGUUACAUGACUUUUCCUGUGUUUGGAUUUUAAUUUAGAAUAGGGUUUUUUAUAAACUACACAAAAAUAAUUUGAAAAACAAAAUGUAAUAUGUUUUACCUAUUUCGACCAUUAAGCGGUCAUAUUGAUCACACGUCAUUUCCCGGGGUUUCAUUGUUACAUUUUCUGCACUUCUUUGAGUAUUUACUUGUAAGUUAAUUAUUAUAUAGUUGUAUUGUAUAACCUGGUUGGUACCAUGGGGAAACACAAACUGGAGUUCGCCCUUCCGUAAAACGGCGGAGCUGUUCAACACCAAGGUGCUGAAGUGAUGCGACUCUGACUGUGUAGCAGGGAAAGCCAAGGAAGAAUGUCUGCAUCCUGAGCACCGUGCACGUGGGCACCUUUCGUAGGGCGAAAGCAAAUCUCUAGCCCCAUUCACACUGCCGUUUGCAUGCGGGGAUCCUGCGCCAAUUCUCCACACCGUCCUCUGUGUGAAAGUUUCAGAGAGGGCGGAAAUUUCGCUGAUCUGCCUCUGGAUGUAGUAUCAGGGCCGCAUCAUUGGUAAACCGCCCCAGUGUGAACGAAGGCGCGGAGCGAGGGGUGUCGGUCUGACAGCCUAAUAGCUGCACAGGUCCUUCACUCAACUACAGAGAAAUGUCCCACAAAAGUAACUAACUGUUAUUGUCUUUGUGUGGAAAGAAAUACUAUAGCUGUAUGUGGAGAAGCGUCCGUCCUCCCGUCCCACCGACUCCUCGUUACAUGUCUGCCGGAAAACACCUUCUGUAACCGGCAGAAAACUUCAACUCGCCGAGUGUUUGUGAUGAAAAUAAAUCACCGCGACUGUCAGUCUUCCCGACUGAGUCUUCAGGGAACUUUCCCACAGAAAACAGCCUCCAUCCCGUGAAUGAGAGAGUCAGACAGCAUCCUGUUUAUUGAUGGUGAUUAUGUAAUUUAGCGCGAAGGGAGGGCGUACUCCGUCAAAGGAGGUACGGAAGAUGGUCAGUGUCUUCUUUAACAUCCUCGACCUGGCUGGGAUCAAUGUCCGCAUCUUAUUCAAGGAGCACCAGCAGCAGGAGAACCCGGAGGAAAGUCCUGCAGCAGCUGACAGACGAGCUGAGGGCCGAACAGUCGGCACAAGGUGGGCAGCAGCGGACCCAACCACCGCAGCAGCAGCAGAAACGGACACUGAGGCAGUGCCGGUCCGAAAGAGUUGCAAAGAAAACAAAACGCUGGAAACUUGAAAUGCCACAAGUGGUAACUGUGCGAGGGGUAUAAAUGUAGGACUACAUUUUGGUGUUAUUUCGUUUUUUAAAAAAAAUAAUAAAUCAUGAGACAAUGAAUGCAUUCAUCAUUCAAUUGAGUAUUUACAUGAGAGAUUAAAUAGAGUUUAAAUCUAGCGGUCCAAAUGACUGCUCACUGCCGUUGUAUAGUAAUGUUGAAUUCCGGCUCUUCGGAGGUCCAACUGAGGUCCAAUCAGAAACAUAUCACUUGACCGGAUCCAACUGUAGGGUUGUGGAAAGCACACUGUUAUGCCUUAACCAAGAUAUCGAUCAUUAAGAUUAAUUGGAUCAGAUCUGACUGGAAUGAACCCGCCAUAGUGGCUGGUUAACUGAUUAAAUCAACCCGCCAGCACACAAAUUCACUUGUGGGUUGCGGGUGAUAAUUUCCCUCUCUGGUGUGCCUGUGUGAUGACUGUCGCUAUGGCAAAUCCCAGAACCCCUUACAAAUCGAGUAAUUUUAAGGGUUGUUGCAUCAGGAGGAGAAACCUCAUAAAAAUGUUGAAACGCCUAUGACACAUUUUAAAUCAUUUGUGCCUUCUUUUGAAUUUGGCAUUAAGUAGCAUGCGUUACGAUUUUUGUUUCAUUGUGAAAGUGUCAGUUAGUUUGCAACAUGGCAACAUGGCUCAAUUUUGAAACUUGUUUCUUUAGUAGAAACUGUAUAUACGUUGUGAAAUGCAGUGUACAGCACAUUCCUUACUGUUUGGACACGGUAGUUCAUUCGGCAAACGUUUUACCACUUGCUCUAUGAGAUAUUGCAGGGUUUCGGGAUCGCUUUCAGAGGUUCAACACCAGAAUUUCCGAGUAUCCCUUGAACACCACACUCAAACUUUGUCAGAGCAGCCGGACCGGACGUUGCUUCAGUCGCCGUAUGCUGUCUGUCAGAUAUAGAGGACAUUCAUCGACUGCUGGGUUUUUGCCUGAUAUAGAGGACCUUGACCACCUAUUGUGCUUUUGCCUGGUGCCUUGGUGAUUUUUUUCUAUCUGUUGUCUCUCCUCUCAUGCUCUCUCUUCCUUUCUGUCCAAUCAGGGAUCAGGUCCUGGUUGUUGUCAGAUCUCUGUCGUUGCCUGGCUCUACCCUCUCAGACUCUCUCUCCCUUUCUGUCCAUCAGAUUUGAGAUUUUGGCUUUUGGAUUUUGGUUUGAGAUACAGGAUACAGGCUUGACACUGAAAGGCUUGACACUGAAAGGCUUGACACUGAAAAGCUUGACAUUUAAAGGCUUGACACUGAAAGGCUUGACAUUUAUUGGUUUGACAUUUUGACUUGACACUUUUUGGACAAUUUCACAUUAGCACAUUAUCUUGACAAAGCAUUACAUGCUCUGUCGGAGCAGGUUACCACCACCUUAGUGACUUGAUUUGAUUUGAACUACAACAUCGAUCAGCUUUUGACAAGUAUUUACCAGCAUUUGAUUUUUUAACUGCUAACAUUAAUUCUAAUUAAUUUGAUUGUUAAUUACAUUUAAAUAAUUGAUUUAAACAGUGAUAAAUUGUAAGAAGAUUUUGCAAAACAAUAUACACAAGAAAUAUUUGG